CAGCUCAGGUUAGAGCAAUUUUAUUUGGUUAAAGGAAACGUAUCACUCAAUGGUAUAGCUUGAGCUAUAUUUCAGUUGAUAUUUGACCCUGUGCAGGAAU